UAACGGUAGGUGCACACGGGGGCGCCGAUCUCCCAUUUACCCGGCUAACAGAAACAGAAUCAGGAUCCAUAUAACAGAAACAGUCUCACAAACCCAUGGUGACCCACUUCAUCCCAAUUCCACACAAACAAGGCACAGUAUAUGCACAGCACAAGUAAUCAAACAAUUCUUUCAACGUAUUACACCAAUUUCAUCCAAAUGCACAAUUAUAUAUAAGUAUAAUUAUAGUGAUCGUAACAUAAUAUAUAUAUGAUAAAAUACUUA
rnacentral:lncRNA from 1 species